GUGUCAGCAGCCGCGGUAAUACGAAGGGUGCAAGCGUUAAUCGGAAUUACUGGGCGUAAAGCGCGCGUAGGUGGUUCAGUAAGUUGGAAGUGAAAUCCCCGGGCUCAACCUGGGAACUGCUUUCAAAACUGCUGAGCUAGAGUACGGUAGAGGGUGGUGGAAUUUCCUGUGUAGCGGUGAAAUGCGUAGAUAUAGGAAGGAACACCAGUGGCGAAGGCGACCACCUGGACUGAUACUGACACUGAGGUGCGAAAGCGUGGGGAGCAAACAGGAUUAGAAACCCGAGUAGUCC
rnacentral:rRNA from 1 species